rnacentral:rRNA from 1 species
GACGAACGCUGGCGGCGUGCUUAACACAUGCAAGUCGAACGGAAAGGCCCUGCUUUUGUGGGGUGCUCGAGUGGCGAACGGGUGCGUAACACGUGUGUAACCUGCUCUUGACUUUGGGAUAACUUCAGGAAACUGGGGCUAAUCCCGUAUAGGAGCCCCCGCUGCAUGGUGGGGGUUGGAAAGUUUCGGCGUUUGGGGAUGGACUCGCGGCUUAUCAGUUUGUUGGUGGGGUAGUGGCUUACCAAGGCUUUGACGGGUAGCCGGCCUGAGAGGGUGACCGGCCACAUUGGGACUGAGAUACGGCCCAGACUCCUACGGGAGGCAGCAGUGGGGAAUAUUGCACAAUGGGCGGAAGCCGGAUGCAGCGACGCCGCGUGCGGGAUGACGGCCUUCGGGUUGUAAACCGCUUUCGCCUGUGACGAAGCGUGAGUGACGGUAAUGGAUAAAGAAGCACCGGCUAACUACGUG